rnacentral:rRNA from 1 species
GAUGAACGCUGGCGGCGUGCCUAAUACAUGCAAGUCGAGCGAACAGACGAGGAGCUUUCUCCUCUGACGUUAGCGGCGGACGGGUGAGUAACAAGUGGAUAACCUACCUAUAAGACUGGGAUAACAUCGGGAAACCGGAGCUACUACCGGAUAAUAUAUUGAACCGCAUGGUUCAAUAGUGAAAGACGGUUUUGCUGUCACUUAUAGAUGGAUCCGCGCCGCAUUAGCUAGUUGGUAAGGUAACGGCUUACCAAGGCAACGAUGCGUAGCCGACCUGAGAGGGUGAUCGGCCACACUGGAACUGAGACACGGUCCAGACUCCUACGGGAGGCAGCAGUAGGGAAUCUUCCGCAAUGGGCGGAAGCCUGACGGAGCAACGCCGCGUGAGUGAUGAUGGUCUUCUGAUCGUAAAACUCUGUUAUUAGGGAAGAACAAAUGUGUAAGUAACUAUGCACGUCUUGACGGUACCUAAUCAGAAAGCCACGGCUAACUACGUG